GCCUUGGUGUUGUAAUGGAAGAGCACGAGUUCCUGAAUAGGAUGAAACGCGGGUUCGAUUACCGCCUGAGGCC